CUCUUUUUCACUAACAUGUUGGACCCCUCGCAUGUAUCAGUAACUCAUUCCCUUUACUGCUGAGUAGUAUUCCAUUAUUUGGGUAUAUUAGAGUCUAUUCAACCAUUCACCCACUGGAUGACUCCUGGGUUGAUUUAAAUUUUCAUUCAUAUCCUUUUGUCUUUAUUUUGUUUCAUUCUUUCCUCCUUCUUUACUUCCUCCUCCUCCUCUUCUCAGUAAACUUACUGAAGUAUAACAUACAUGUGGAAAAUUAUAAGGGUACAGUGCUAUAAAUUUCCCACAAAGGGAACACAGCUGGUAAGCAGCACUCUGGCUAAGAAAAAGAACAUUUUGGGAAUUCUCUGGUGAUCCAGUGGUUAAGACUCUGGGCUUUCACUGCCAUGGGCCUGAGUUCAAUCCCUGGUUGGGGAACUGUGAUCCCACAAGCCAUGUGAUGUACAAGAACAAAACAAAACAAAAAACACAAGUGCUACCCAGAAGUGCCCCACCCAAGGCAUCCAGUAUUUUGACUUCUAGUACUAGAUUAGUCUUGCCUGUUUUUGAGCUUCAUAUAAAUGGAAUCAUUCAGCACAUACUCUUUCGUAUCUGGCUUCUCUUGUAAGAUUUAUCAAGUAUUCUCUUGAACCAUUUCUAAGAAUGACUGACUGCCAACUUUAGGAAGAAAAUACCAAUGUGGAUACUCUCCAAGAUAUCAUCUAUUGAUCAUCUUGGGAUUCAGACUUUCCCACACUGAAUAUGAUGCUGUCAUGAAGCGUUUGCUGGGGCUAACAUGCCAGGUGGCUCAGUGGUAAAGAAUCCUCCUACCAGAGCAGGACACGUGGCUUCGAUCCCUGGGUAAAGAUCCCUUGAAGUAAGAAAUGGCAACCCACUCCAGUAUUCUUGCUUGGAAAAUCCCAUGGAAAGAGGAGCCUGAUGGGCUAUGGUCCAUGGAGUCGCAAAGAGUCGGACAUGACUGAGUGACUGAGUAUGCACACACGCUUGCAACGUAACAUAGCUGUUCUGUACUGUACUUUCUCACUCUGUUUUAUACAAGAAGAACUAACACUGAAAAGAUAAGAAAAUUUCCCAGUGACUCAGUGGUGAGAAAAUGACGUCUCAGAGAGGAGGGACUGUUGGGCACUCAGCUGGUACCUGGUGCAGCUAGGAUGGUGGCUGCCCUCUUAGCCACCGCAUGUGCCGCCCCUUGCCUACGAACUCUCCAGUCCAGCAGGG
ensembl:lncRNA